GACGAACGCUGGCGGCGUGCUUAACACAUGCAAGUCGAACGAAGAGCGAUGGAAGCUUGCUUCUAUCAAUCUUAGUGGCGAACGGGUGAGUAACGCGUAAUCAACCUGCCCUUCAGAGGGGGACAACAGUUGGAAACGACUGCUAAUACCGCAUACGAUCUAAUCUCGGCAUCGAGGAUAGAUGAAAGGUGGCCUCUACAUGUAAGCUAUCACUGAAGGAGAGGAUUGCGUCUGAUUAGCUAGUUGGAGGGGUAACGGCCCACCAAGGCGAUGAUCAGUAGCCGGUCUGAGAGGAUGAACGGCCACAUUGGGACUGAGACACGGCCCAGACUCCUACGGGAGGCAGCAGUGGGGAAUCUUCCGCAAUGGACGAAAGUCUGACGGAGCAACGCCGCGUGAGUGAUGACGGCCUUCGGGUUGUAAAGCUCUGUUAAUCGGGACGAAAGGCCUUCUUGCGAAUAGUGAGAAGGAUUGACGGUACCGGAAUAGAAAGCCACGGCUAACUACGUG
rnacentral:rRNA from 1 species